rnacentral:rRNA from 1 species
UACGUAGGUGGCAAGCGUUGUCCGGAAUUAUUGGGCGUAAAGCGUCCGCAGGUGGCAAUGUAAGUCUGCUGUUAAAGAGUCUAGCUCAACUAGAUAAAAGCAGUGGAAACUACAUAGCUAGAGUACGUUCGGGGCAGAGGGAAUUCCUGGUGUAGCGGUGAAAUGCGUAGAGAUCAGGAGGAACACCGGUGGCGAAGGCGGCUUCCUGGACCGACACUGACGCUGAGGCGCGAAAGCCAGGGGAGCAAACGGG